rnacentral:rRNA from 1 species
ACGAAAACAGGUGGUGCAUGGCUGUCGUCAGCUCGUGUCGUGAGAUGUUGGGUUAAGUCCCGCAACGAGCGCAACCCUUAUCCUAUGUUACCAGCACGCAGCGGUGGGGACUCAUAGGAGACUGCCAGGGAUAACCUGGAGGAAGGCGGGGAUGACGUCAAGUCAUCAUGCCCCUUAUGUCUUGGGCUACACACGUACUACAAUGGUCGGCAACAAAGGGCAGCGAAGCCGCGAGGCGGAGCCAAUCCCAGAAACCCGACCCCAGUUCGGAUCGCAGGCUGCAACCCGCCUGCGUGAAGUUGGAAUCGCUAGUAAUCGCAGGUCAGCAUACUGCGGUGAAUACGUUCCCGGGCCUUGUACACACCGCCCGUCACACCACGAAAGUUGGUAACACCCGAAGCCGGUGAGAUAACCUUUUAGGAGUCAGCUGUCUAAGGUGGGGCCGAUGAUUGGGGUGAAGUCGUAACAAGGUAGCCGUUCGAGAACGAGCGGCUGGAUCACCUCCUUUCUAGGGAGAACCGAAGGAGCCUGAGGGCUUGCUUCUAUUCUUCGUCGACGCACAUCUGUCAAGAACAAUAUUCGGUUUUGAGGGCUUCACCCUCAAACGAUCCAUGGGCCUAUAGCUCAGCUGGUUAGAGCGCACGCCUGAUAAGCGUGAGGUCAGAGGUCCGAGUCCUCUUAGGCCCACCAAUUUCUUGAAAUUGAAAUGGAUUGUAUGAUAUGGUUUUCGGUCUGCCGUCAUGCGACAGUCGAAAUAUAGCGGGGGCGUAGCUCAGCUGGGAGAGCACCUGCCUUGCAAGCAGGGGGUCAGGAGUUCGAUUCUCCUCGUCUCCACCACAUGAACCUUGAAAACUUCAUAGAAGAGACAAACAAAGUCUUAGACAUUGUGAUGAAUGUCUAAGCACCUCUGAUCUAAAUGCGAAUUUAGAAACGAGUAACGAGAAAUACCAGGGAACGUAAGUUCCUUAGUACUGAACCAGAAAAAUUGCGAAGAGAAAUUGCUCUGAUCCGCGAAGCGAGGAAGAGAGCCACCGGAGACAAUACUCUAGUAUGUCGAGGAUGGCGAACGACGAGCGACAAAGGAGCAGACAAUUUAUCGAAGCAAUUUUAAGUCAAGCUACUAAGGGCAUACGGUGAAUGCCUUGGCACUAAGAGCCGAUGAAGGACGUGGUAAGCUGCGAAAAGCCACGGGGAGCCGCAAGCAGGCUUCGAUCCGUGGAUGUCCGAAUGGGGAAACCCGCCAUCCGUCAUGGGAUGGCAUCCUUCGGGAGGGGAACCCGGUGAACUGAAACAUCUAAGUAGCCGGAGGAAGAGAAAUCAAACGAGAUGCCCACAGUAGCGGCGAGCGAAGAGGGCAGAGCCUAAACCAGAGAGCUUCGGCUCCCUGGGGUUACGGACUGGCAUAAGCGAAGUCCAAUCUAGUCGAAUCACCUGGAAAGGUGAGCCACAGACCGUGAGAGCCGGGUAGAUUAAAGAUCGGAUGAGUGGCCAGUAUCCAGAGUACCGCGAAGCACGAGGAAUUUUGCGGGAAGUCGGGGGGACCACCCUCCAAGGCUAAACACUCCUUAGUGACNUUCGUGUGCAAGCGUGUAGGCUGGUUACCAGGCAAAUCCGGUAACUGAGGCUGAGGCGUGAUGCGGAGGGAACUUGUUCCCGAAGGGAUUGAGCCUACGCUGCCGAGAAAAGCUUCUAGUGAGAAAGCUGCCGCCCGUACCGUAAACCGACACAGGUAUGCGGGGAGAGAAUCCUAAGGUGCGCGGGAGAACCCUCGUUAAGGAACUCGGCAAAAUGUACCCGUAACUUCGGGAUAAGGGUAGCCACAAAGGUGAAGGGACUCGCUCCUGGAGCCCGGUGUGGUCGCAGAGAAGAGGCCCAAGCGACUGUUAACCAGAAACACAGGUGCCUGCGAAAGAGAAAUCUGAAGUAUAGGUGCUGACACCUGCCCAGUGCUGGAAGGUUAAAGAAGGAUGUCCGGGUUCGACCCAAAGCAUUCGACUGAAGCCCCAGUGAACGGCGGCCGUAACUAUAACGGUCCUAAGGUAGCGAAAUUCCUUGUCGGGUAAGUUCCGACCCGCACGAAAGGUGUAACGAUUUGGGCACUGUCUCAACGAGGGACCCGGUGAAAUUGAAAUACCUGUGAAGAUGCAGGUUACCCGCGACUGGACAGAAAGACCCCAUGGAGCUUUACUGUAACCUAAUAUUGGGUUCUGAUACUUGAUGCACAGGAUAGGUGGGAGGCACGGAAGGCAGUCCUCUGGGAUUGCCGGAGCCGACGUUGGGAUACCACCCUUCAAUUAUCGGGAUUCUAACCGAGCGAGCAACGAUCGCCGGGACAGUGUUAGGCGGGCAGUUUGACUGGGGCGGUCGCCUCCUAAAGAGUAACGGAGGCGCCCAAAGGUUCCCUCAGCGCGGACGGAAACCGCGCGCGGAGUGUAAAGGCAGAAGGGAGCUUGACUGCGAGCCAAACACGGCGAGCAGGUACGAAAGUAGGGCUUAGUGAUCCGGUGGCAUCCAAGUGGAAGGGCCAUCGCUCAACGGAUAAAAGCUACCCUGGGGAUAACAGGCUAAUCUCUCCCAAGAGUCCAUAUCGACGGGGAGGUUUGGCACCUCGAUGUCGGCUCAUCACAUCCUGGGGCUGAAGUCGGUCCCAAGGGCUGGGCUGUUCGCCCAUUAAAGUGGUACGUGAGCUGGGUUCAGAACGUCGUGAGACAGUUCGGUCCCUAUCCAUCGCGGGCGCAAGAGAUUUGAAGGGGGCUGCUCCUAGUACGAGAGGACCGGAGUGGACGGACCGCUGGUGUACCAAUUAUCCUGCCAAGGGUAUAGUUGGGUAGCUACGUCCGGAACGGAUAAACGCUGAAAGCAUCUAAGCGUGAAACCAUCCUUAAGAUGAGAUCUCUCACAGCGUAAGCUGGUAAGACACCUGGAAGAUUACCAGGUUGAUAGGCAGGGUGUGGAAGCGUAGCAAUAUGUUAAGCUGACCUGUACUAAUAUGUCGAGGGCUUGACUUA